UUUGGUCUUAAGAGUUUAAGAGCACGUGAUGUAGAGGACUCACCCGCUUUUUGGAAACUUUUAUGCUAAGUGCCCAAAGUUAUCUAUCUGCUUUUAAGAACUGGUCACCUGUGGUUGUUCUCUUCAAGGCUGGCUGUUGGGCAGACUUCCUGUAGCAAAAACAUCCUCAUAUUCUCUGGUGGAUUUAAAUGGAUGGAAAUAUACAAAAUACACUGGCGGUCAUGCAUUCACACAGGCUGCGCUAUUUUUUUGUGGAUAUCUAGCUGGAACUUGCCACAUACUAAAUAAAAUAAUGAAAAUUCCUUUGCAUGAUGUGAAAAGAAAGAAAAGG